rnacentral:rRNA from 1 species
UACGUAGGGUGCAAGCGUUGUCCGGAAUUAUUGGGCGUAAAGAGCUCGUAGGCGGUUUGUCGCGUCUGCUGUGAAAACCCGAGGCUCAACCUCGGGCCUGCAGUGGGUACGGGGCAGACUAGAGUGCGGUAGGGGGAGAUUGGAAUUCCUGGUGUAGCGGUGGAAUGCGCAGAUAUCAGGAGGAACACCAAUAGCGAAGGCAGAUCUCUGGGCCGUAACUGACGCUGAGGAGCGAAAGCAUGGGGAGCGAACAGG